rnacentral:rRNA from 1 species
GAUGAACGCUGGCGGCGUGCCUAAUACAUGCAAGUCGAACGAGGUGCCUUUGUAGCAAUACGAAGGUAUCCUAGUGGCGAACGGGUGAGUAACGCGUUGGUGACCUACCCCAAAGUGUGGGAUAACAGAUCGAAAGAUCUGCUAAUACCGCAUGUGGUCUUCGGAUUUAGAAACUGAUGACUAAAGGAGCAAUUCGCUUUGGGAGGGACCUGCGUCCCAUCAGCUAGUUGGUGAGGUAAUGGCUCACCAAGGCUACGACGGGUAGGGGACUUGAGAGGGUGGCCCCCCACAAUGGAACUGAAACACGGUCCAUACACCUACGGGUGGCAGCAGUAGGGAAUAUUGCACAAUGGGCGAAAGCCUGAUGCAGCAACGCCGCGUGUGCGAUGAAGGCCUUGGGUCGUAAAGCACUUUUCUGAGGGAUGAGCAAGGACAGUACCUCAGGAAUAAGUCUCGGCUAACUACGUGCCAGCAGCCGCGGUAA